AGUGGACCAAUGCCGAUGGAAUUGAAUGUACCGUCGGCAGUUGUUUUAAAACAAAAAUGCCCCAGUUUAUUUUUUCCCCAAAUCUCUUCUUCCUCCCAACAUGUCGCCGCACCUUCCCUUCCCCUUCACGGUUUUUUCUCACUUUUCUCCCUCCCACACAUGUCGACCACCCCUUUCCUUCCUCUUCAUCAUUUUUCCUUAUCCUUCUCCCUCCCACACACGAACGGCUGUCGGCCCCUACUUUUUCUUGCCACGCGAACGGACGACCGAUGCCCUUCAUUUUUGUAAACACAUCUGAACGGAAACAUCGAGAGUGUUUAGCGAUGAGAGAGAGAGACAGAGGAAAUCAAAUCUUUCCAACCACUGCACUUUAUAGGAUACUACAUGAGACAGUUUUGAAGAAGAGAAGAAUAAUGGAGAAGAAAGAGAAAGAAAUAUUGGUGUAUUGCUCGUUGUGGAAGAUGAAGAUCUGGAAACGAAUUACUCCCUUAGAUUAACUAAUUACAGAGGAAACGAAUUACUCAACCCAAGAGAAUGGAUCUAAUAUUUCCAUUGUUUUGCUCAAAAGUAUUAAAUUGAGGCUUGGAGGACAUUGAAAAUUUAAAGGGAGACUUUCACUGGCAUUGAAGGUUGCUUAUUGCUGGGUUAAGUUUGGAGAUUCGAGGUGUUUGCGUUCCUGCCCAAGAAGUGAAGGAUCCAUUUUGGUGAUUAUUGAGACUUCGAAACCUUUUCGAUAUAGUUGUUUUAGUGGUGGAAGGUGGAUUUUAAAAUCAUAACUUUUGGGUUAUGUGUAGAUUGGUUGUUCGUGAAGGGAUAAAAGCGAGAAGAAUUUAAAGAAUCAUUACUCAAAUUAAUUUAGAAAUAUUAAAAUACCAGGA